AUUGAACGCUGGCGGCAGGCCUAACACAUGCAAGUCGAACGAGUGGCGGACGGGUGAGUAAUGUCUGGGAAACUGCCCGAUGGAGGGGGAUAACUACUGGAAACGGUAGCUAAUACCGCAUACCAUCGGAUGUGCCCAGAUGGGAUUAGCUAGUGGGUGGGGGAACGGCUCACCUAGGCGACGAUCCCUAGCUGGUCUGAGAGGAUGACCAGACACACUGGAACGGAGACACGGUCCAGACUCCUACGGGAGGCAGCAGGGGGGAAUAUUGAACAAUGGGCGCAAGCCUGAUGCAGCCAUGCCGCGUGGAUGAAGAAGGCCUUCGGGUUGGAAAGUACUGUCAGCGAGGAGGCGUUACUCGCAGAAGAAGCACCGGCUAACUCCGUGCCAGCAGCCGCGGUAAUAC
rnacentral:rRNA from 1 species